rnacentral:sRNA from 1 species
CUGUCUCCUUCAUCAAACACUGUUGUUGGGCGUCAUUGUUCGGUUCGGUUCGGUGUUGGAAAGAAUACUUUCAUCUGCUGUGGUUGGAGUGUUAGGAAGCAUCCAUUGAGGGUACUGUGUGGCGGUUUAAGAAGAUUGUUACUCGUAUUAAGGACGAAGACAUAUACUAUUUGGAGUUACGAAGGCCCUUAGUGAAGGAAGCAAAG